rnacentral:rRNA from 1 species
AGCGAACGCUGGCGGUAGGCCUAACACAUGCAAGUCGAACGGCAGCACAGUAAGAGCUUGCUCUUACGGGUGGCGAGUGGCGGACGGGUGAGGAAUACAUCGGACUCUACUCUUUCGUGGGGGAUAACGUAGGUAAACUUACGCCAAUACCGCAUACGACCUACGGGUGAAAGCAGGGGAUCUUCUGACCUUGCGCGAUUGAAUGAGCCGAUGUCGGAUUUGCUUGUUGGCGGGGUAAUGGCCCACCAAGGCGACGAUCCGUAGCUGGUCUGAGUGGAUGAUCGGCCACCCUGGAGCUGAAACACGGUCCUGACUCCUACGGGAGGCAGCAGUGGGGAAUAUUGGACAAUGGGCGCGAACCUGAUCCAGCCAUACCGCGUGGGAGAAAGAGGCCUUCGGGUUGUAAAGCCCUUUUGUUGGGAAAGAAAAGCAGCAGGUUGAUACCCCGCUGUUCUGACGGUACCCAGAGAAUAAGCACCGGCUAACUUCGUG